AAAGCUUUAUGCGCCAAAGGAUGAGCCUGCCUUUGAUUAGUAUGUUGGUGGGGCAACGGCCUACCAAGACUUCGAUCAAUAGCUGAUCUGAGAGGAUGAUCAGCCACAUCGGGACUGAGACACGGCCCAAACUCCUACAGGAGGCAGCAGUAGGGAAUAUUGCACAAUGGAGGAAACUCUGAUGCAGCGAUGCCGCGUGAGUGAAGAAGG
rnacentral:rRNA from 1 species